rnacentral:rRNA from 1 species
UACGGAGGAUCCAAGCGUUAUCCGGAUUCAUUGGGUUUAAAGGGUGCGUAGGCGGAAUUGUAAGUCAGUGGUGAAAGCCUGCAGCUUAACUGCAGAAUUGCCAUUGAUACUGCAAAUCUUGAGUACAUUUGAUGUGGGCGGAAUGUGUCAUGUAGCGGUGAAAUGCUUAGAUAUGACACAGAACACCGAUUGCGAAGGCAGCUCACAAAACUGUAACUGACGCUGAGGCACGAAAGCGUGGGGAUCGAAUGCG